UACGUAGGGUGCGAGCGUUACUCGGAAUUACUGGGCGUAAAGCGUGCGCAGGCGGUUAUGUAAGACAGAUGUGAAAUCCCCGGGCUCAACCUGGGAACUGCAUUUGUGACUGCAUAGCUAGAGUACGGUAGAGGGGGAUGGAAUUCCGCGUGUAGCAGUGAAAUGCGUAGAUAUGCGGAGGAACACCGAUGGCGAAGGCAAUCCCCUGGACCUGUACUGACGCUCAUGCACGAAAGCGUGGGGAGCAAACAGG
rnacentral:rRNA from 1 species